AUCAUCAUCAUCGUCUCGACGUUCCUCCGUGAAUUGGCGCUUGGCUGCAGAAUGGCCGUGAGACGGGUUUCCAUCGGGGGCUACGUCGCCGACGACACCGACACACAGGGGCAACGUUCCACAGAACAUUCGACGAAAUAAGACACACGGCCCUGACAACAGCGCCAGAGCCCUUUACGUCACCCCUGUCGUGUGCUUGGCUUGCCGUGGUGCUCAUCAGCCUGCUCGCCAUAGUGACCGUCAUUCUAAGUCUCUGCUACAUCUUCAAGAAAGGUCGCCCACCCCUGCCGACAAGCCCUCCUGUCCUUCAUGUGACGACGCCUAGCCAGGGAGACAGUGGCCACUCUAGUGCACUGGCUAACAUCAGUGCAGCAAGCAGCGACGGAGACGAUCGGGCAACGUCAUCACGUAUAACAUAGUUAUGCCCAAGCUAAAUCAUAAUUCGCAAAUAGCCAUCGCAUCCAGUUAAUAAACUUGUUCCAC